AGCGGCGAACGGGUGCGUAAGACGCGGGUGACCUAUCCUGGAGGCGGGGAUAACCCUUCGAAAGAGGGGCUAAGACCGGAUGAGCCCACAGGCAGAGAUGCUAGGGGGCAAAGGGUGCAGUUUACUAAGUGCAUAUCUUCUGGGAGGGGCCCACGGCCUAUCAGCUAGUUGGUGAGGUAAUGGCUCACCAAGGCGAAGACGGGUAGCUGGUCUGAGAGGAUGGCCAGCCACACGGGGACUGAGACACGGCCCCGACUCCUACGGGAGGCAGCAGUGGGGAAUAUUGGGCAAUGGGCGCAAGCCUGACCCAGCGACGCCGCGUGGGUGAUGAAGGCCUUCGGGUCGUAAAGCCCUGUCGGGUGGAAAGAACGAUCUUUGGUCGAAUAGGCCAGGGAUGUGACGGUACCACCGAAGGAAGCACCGGCCAAUUCCGUGCCAGCAGCCGCGGUAAGACGGAAGGUGCAAGCGUUGCUCGGAAUCACUGGGCGUAAAGGGUGCGUAGGCGGCUUCGUCAGUCGGGUGUGAAAGCCCCGGGCUCAGCCUGGGAAGGGCAGUCGAUACUGCGAAGCUGGAGUGCCGGAGGGGAGAGUGGAAUUCCUGGUGUAGCGGUGAAAUGCGUAGAUAUCAGGAGGAAUACCGGUGGCGAAAGCGACUCUCUGGACGGCAACUGACGCUGAGGCACGAAAGCGUGGGGAGCAAACAGGAUUAGAUACCCUGGUAGUCCACGCCGUAAACGAUGGGCACUAGG
rnacentral:rRNA from 1 species